UUGUUAAAAUUUAGGCUUUAUUUUGUUUUAAUUAUAACUUUUUUAAUAUUAUUUAAGUAAUUAUAGGUUAAAUUUUAAUUAUUUUUGGUUUAUGGUUAUAAUUUUAAGUUUUGAAAAUCGAAUUAGAUUAGUACCUAAUUAGUCAAAAGUUAAAAGAGCAGGAGUAAAGUAGUAUUUAAACUGAAAGAAUAUUGGCAGAUUUUCUAAAUUAUCUUUGGAGGUUGAGUGAUAAUUGAGAACCCUCAUUAACUACUUUUGGAUUUAGUCUCAUGUAUGAUCGUUUAUUUUAUACUUAAGGUAUAUAAUAAAAAAUUUUUAUUUAUAAAAAUAGAUAUAUAUUUGGUUUAUACAGAAGUAAUAUUUGACCUACAAUAAGUUAUUUUGUGGAUCUAUAAGUUAGUAUUUAUGGUGAAAAUGUAAAAGACAGUAAAAAAGUUUUUAUAAUUUUUUGAAGAUUAUUUAGAUGUGGUACAAAUCAUCCAUCANUUGCCCAAA
rnacentral:rRNA from 1 species